rnacentral:rRNA from 1 species
CGGUUAUCACUUUACAGAAUGGGGCCGCGGGCCAUAGCUGUGUAGUACGUCACCAAGCAUGAUGGUAGCGACUUGAGAGGGUGAUCGAACUACCUGGGAUUGAGACCGACCAAGACCCCUUACCGGAGGCAGCAGUAAGGAUUCUUCGCAAUUGGACGAAAGUCCUAACGAGCACGCCGCGUGAGGUGAUUGAGGUUUUCCGGAUCGUAAACUCUGUUGUUAAGGGAAGAACAAGUACGAGAGUAACUGCUCGUACCUGACGGUACCUAACCAGAAAGGCCACGGCUAACUACGUGCCAGCAGCCGCGGUAAUACGUAGGUGGCAAGCGUUGUCCGGAAUUAUUGGGCGUAAAGCGCGCGCAGGCGGUCCCUUAAGUCUGAUGUGAAAGCCCACGGCUCAACCGUGGAGGGUCAUUGGAAACUGGGGGACUUGAGUGCAGAAGAGGAGAGUGGAAUUCCACGUGUAGCGGUGAAAUGCGUAGAGAUGUGGAGGAACACCAGUGGCGAAGGCGACUCUCUGGUCUGUAACUGACGCUGAGGCGCGAAAGCGUGGGGAGCGAACAGGAUUAGAUACCCUGGUAGUCCACGCCGUAAACGAUGAGUGCUAAGUGUUAGAGGGUUUCCGCCCUUUAGUGCUGCAGCAAACGCAUUAAGCACUCCGCCUGGGGAGUACGGCCGCAAGGCUGAAACUCAAAGGAAUUGACGGGGGCCCGCACAAGCGGUGGAGCAUGUGGUUUAAUUCGAAGCAACGCGAAGAACCUUACCAGGUCUUGACAUCCUCUGACAAUCCUAGAGAUAGGACGUUCCCCUUCGGGGGACAGAGUGACAGGUGGUGCAUGGUUGUCGUCAGCUCGUGUCGUGAGAUGUUGGGUUAAGUCCCGCAACGAGCGCAACCCUUGAUCUUAGUUGCCAGCAUUCAGUUGGGCACUCUAAGGUGACUGCCGGUGACAAACCGGAGGAAGGUGGGGAUGACGUCAAAUCAUCAUGCCCCUUAUGACCUGGGCUACACACGUGCUACAAUGGAUGGUACAAAGGGCAGCAAAACCGCGAGGUCGAGCAAAUCCCAUAAAACCAUUCUCAGUUCGGAUUGUAGGCUGCAACUCGCCUACAUGAAGCCGGAAUCGCUAGUAAUCGCGGAUCAGCAUGCCGCGGUGAAUACGUUCCCGGGCCUUGUACACACCGCCCGUCACACCACGAGAGUUUGUAACACCCGAAGUCGGUGGGGUAACCUUUUGGAGCCAGCCGCCUUAAGGUG